rnacentral:rRNA from 1 species
UACGUAGGGGGCUAGCGUUGUCCGGAAUCAUUGGGCGUAAAGAGCGUGUAGGCGGCCCGGUAAGUCCGCUGUGAAAGUCGGGGGCUCAACCCUCGAAUGCCGGUGGAUACUGUCGGGCUAGAGUGCGGAAGAGGCGAGUGGAAUUCCUGGUGUAGCGGUGAAAUGCGCAGAUAUCAGGAGGAACACCGAUUGCGAAGGCAGCUCGCUGGGACGUUACUGACGCUGAGGCGCGAAAGCGUGGGGAGCAAACAGG